AGUGAACGCUGGCGGUAGGCCUAACACAUGCAAGUCGAACGGCAGCACAGUAAGAGCUUGCUCUUACGGGUGGCGAGUGGCGGACGGGUGAGGAAUACAUCGGAAUCUACUUUUUCGUGGGGGAUAACGUAGGGAAACUUACGCUAAUACCGCAUACGACCUACGGGUGAAAGCAGGGGAUCUUCGGACCUUGCGCGAUUGAAUGAGCCGAUGUCGGAUUAGCUAGUUGGCGGGGUAAAGGCCCACCAAGGCGACGAUCCGUAGCUGUUCUGAGAGGAUGAUCAGCCACACUGGAACUGAGACACGGUCCAGACUCCUACGGGAGGCAGCAGUGGGGAAUAUUGGACAAUGGGCGAAAGCCUGAUCCAGCCAUACCGCGUGGGUGAAGAAGGCCUUCGGGUUGUAAAGCCCUUUUGUUGGGAAAGAAAAGCAGCAGGUUAAUCCCCCGCUGUUCUGACGGUACCCAAAGAAUAAGCACCGGCUAACUUCGUG
rnacentral:rRNA from 1 species